GUUUUCAGUAGUUAGUGUCUUCCCUCAGUCAUUUUAAGAUUCAGGCCCUGUACAUGAAUAGUGGUGUUAAACUAAGAUGUACAUUUUUUGUUUGUUUUUUUUGUUUUUCAUGCAGGUUUACACUCUCCCUGCCCUCACAACCACCUCCCUGUCUUGCCACUUUGUUGCAACUCCGACAACCUUCCCAUCCCCAAGGAGAAGAAUGAUGGCUUUAUGGAGAAAGAGAAAAAGAAUGAACAUGAAAGAGGAACUGGUCAGGAGAAAAAGACAGAGAACACUUGUUUUGGCUCACAGACAGAACAACAACAAAGGUUUUUCCCCCCAUCCAGAGGCCUGUUUCAGGGAAACACCUCCACCCUUAUGUCCAGCCCAGGCCUCACAGGUUCGAAUCUGAAUAUGGAGAUAAGUCGGCGGCGUAUCUUCAGCCUUGAGCCUUUCCAUCAGAGCAGCAUCAUAAACAGCCGGCUGAAGAGAGGGAGGGAGGAGGACAGAGAGGAGGAGAUGGAGGUGGAGGAGGGGACGGAAAAUCUGAGCAAGAAAGCCAAAUUCACAAAUGAGUCAUCUCUGGAAGACGUGAAGAAGCUGAAGGUCUGCAUCGAGUUGAAUGGCCUUCGGCUCAACAAGCCCCGCCUACCCGGGGAGUUCAACCAAUGGCUUCCCACUGGUCAGAGAUCAGCAGAGGCCAACAGGAAGUUCAGAACAGAUGUCCCAUCCAUCAGGGCGAGGUCAGACAUCAGCGAAGGCUGGUGUGAGCCCACAUUUAUGAGAAGGGAUGGAACGAGAGGUAAACCCUCAAAUUUUGCUCUUUAAACUUGACACUUUGCCUCAGAUGAUUCUACGUGUAUUCAGGAUCCGACUAAAGAACAAUAAAAAAAUUUAAUGUACUGUGAAACUGGAAACUAAAGAAUAAAAUGUGUUUAGACACGAGUAGAGACAUGUCUAUAAGCUGACAGCCCAUGUCAAGUUUCAUGAUGAUUUGGACUUGUUUCACUUAUUAAACCACACUUCUAACCCACGCUGCAUGAGGCACACAUUUAUGUGUCAGCGGCAG
ensembl:lncRNA